rnacentral:lncRNA from 1 species
AUAAGGCAAUGGUUUAAAUCGUGAAAGUCUUUUACACAAAAUGAUGACACUGGUGGCAGUGUUGUGGGGCUGCUGACAAAGUAUUGGGGAGGACUUGCCUUCACAUGCUCCCCCCUCUGACCCUCCAGACCUGGACCUUCCCUAAAGAUUUCUGCCCCCAGAUAAAGUCCAUCCCAGUGGAGCAGUCCCAGCAGGAAAUUACAGGAAGAGAAGGAGCCUUAGCCCCAGGGGGCAUUCAGAAUUCCAUCCUGCCUCUGAGCUCCGGGGGCUGCUGACUCCCUCCUACUUGAUCCCUGAGAGUGGCCUCUAGGAGAGUGGGAAGGGGGGGCAACUAUACUGCUUAUUUCCCAUCCCUAAACAAUGGUCCUUCUCUGGAGCCAACUCACCUGGAGGCCAUGCUUAGCCUCUUGGAACAUACACCUGCUCCUACACCUUCUUCCAAUGGCAAUGAUGUUGGUUGGAAUGCACAGACUGCCAGGGAUUGCAAAUACCCCCCCCCUCCUCAACUUUGAGCAUCGCCUGUGACUUUGACUUUGCCAGAAGGAACACUGUUCCACCCUGACCCACAUAUCUGGGCAAGGACAUGUCUUCCCCAUUCCUGAUCUGUUCCUUAACUGGAUACCACCCAAUCUGCUUGACCCUGUCCUCUAAUAAAAAAUCCAAACAAAACACAGUCCAUCUCAUUCAGCACCUUGAUCAGCAGGUCAUCAACCCCAAAUGUGUACCUGAACAUUGUAAGAAUUUAACUAUUUUUUAAUUUUAAAAGAUUAUACCCAGGCCCUAUCUCUGGAGACUAUGAUCUAAUCGGUGGAGCCCAGGCACUGCCAUUUUUGCUGUGAAGAACGAGUGAGUGAACUAGUAACUCAGCCCUCUCAGCCUUCCAGCUCCCACAGAGCUCCCAGGUCAGAAGGGCCCUGCAGCACCCUCCAGUCUGCCUGCUGGGUCUCCUGCUCCGAAAGGACCAGGUCAUGUGCCAAUGGUGCAUCUGCCCAUUCCCCAGGGGGAAGCAGUGUGGCUGAGGGGAGAACAGAGGGAACAGCGACAGGGUUCCCUACUGAAAUAUCUGACAAGGCACCAAAGCAAUCAGAACGAAUGGUUUGAGCCUUACGCCAGGAGAACUGCAGCAAGAAAUUCAUCGAGCUUGAAAGGGGUCUCGGAAGCCCCUUCUGUCCACAGGCAUUCUGCACAGCUGAGGAUAGACCCAACUCUGCCAACUUCCAGAGGAGGCGCCACAGCCAGGCCGUCUGGCUGGCUCCAGGUGUAGCAUCUUUGCCACCUGGAAAGUCACUGCCAACUCCCUUUGCAGAGGUUGCUGGUGCAAGUUUCCCUUUAGGAGAAGAAGAAGGGAACCCCAAGGUGCAGUCACUUUCAUGUCCCCAUUAGAAGAAAUCACAUUUUGCUUCAGUUUCUUUAUGUUAAUAAAAUAUUGCCAUAUCACAAAGUUCAUCCCACUACAAUGAAGGAUUUCAAGACUUUUUGUCGCAAAAUGGCAUAAGCUGAUAUACCUGCUAUUUUAAGUAACAUGGGAACAAUUGGAAAAAAAAAAACUAAAAAAAGCAAAGAAAUGAUAGCUCCACCCAAAAUUCCAGACCUCUAACAUGAUGAGCUCUUAUUUUCAGUCAUGAUGUUCAUUUCUUCAGAUUCUGUCACAGAUGAGAGAGGAGGAUGAAGUAACGAAGGCACAGGAGAGAUGCCACCUACCACCAACGUGACGACAGCGUGAAAAUCAGUCAUGCAACCAUCUGUGGCCACCGGAUAUGCACCUGUUUCUUGUUCCAAAAAGCAGAAAUAUAAACACCGAGAGAGACCCACAUGCCACAGAGGAAGGAGGUGUCAUAAACUUAAAAAGUGAUAUAGCCUUGACCAAAAUUUCUUAAAAUGCCAGUGACCUUUUCUUGGUUUUGAUAUUAUACAGGGAUCAUGUGAUACGUUACCAUCAGAAGAAAUGGUGAAAAGUACAGAGUCUCUGGUGGGGGGGGGGGGUGUUGCAACUUCCGGUGAAUCUGCAAUCAUUUCAAAUUAAAAUAUUAAAAAACAAAAUGAAAGGAAAGAAACUCUAUUCACAAAGAAAAUGAGGUGAAACUUGGCAGGAAAAAAGCCUACCAUCCAGGCAGGACUGCCCCUGUAUCAGCAGCGGCAGAGGCCCGUGGGAGGGGCAGCAGAGGGAGUAUUUACCUCAGCUCCACCAGGACAGGGCGAAGAAGGAGCUGGGUUACCUGAAAGGGAAAUCUCUCAUGUAAGUUUAUGUCUGUGUAGGCUCUAUCUCUCGAUAUGUUUACUGACAUGAAGCAAGUAGCUUCAUGUAAUUUAUAUUACGUGAAUUUAAGUUCAAAUAAUUAAGUAAUAAACUAUGUAUUCUCACUUAAAUCUCAGCGCACGUGAAAUAGUACAUUAGAGCCAUAGACUAUGCUCAUUAUAAGAUAGGGAACUUGUUUAAUUUAUAAAUUGUUUCCGCCACCUCAAAUUAAUGGUCCC